UACGUAGGGUGCGAGCGUUAAUCGGAAUUACUGGGCGUAAAGCGUGCGCAGGCGGUUUUGUAAGCCGGAUGUGAAAUCCCCGGGCUUAACCUGGGAAUGGCAUUCGGGACUGCAAGGCUGGAGUGCGGCAGAGGAGACUGGAAUUCCUGGUGUAGCAGUGAAAUGCGUAGAUAUCGGGAGGAACACCAGUGGCGCAAGCGGCGGCCUGGGUAUGACCUGACACUGAGCCACGACGGCGUGGGGAGCAAACGGG
rnacentral:rRNA from 1 species